rnacentral:rRNA from 1 species
GAGCGGACGGAUGGGAGCUUGCUCCCUGAAGUCAGCGGCGGACGGGUGAGUAACACGUGGGCAACCUGCCUGUAAGACUGGGAUAACUCCGGGAAACCGGGGCUAAUACCGGAUAACUCUUUUCCUCACAUGAGGAAAAGCUGAAAGAUGGUUUCGGCUAUCACUUACAGAUGGGCCCGCGGCGCAUUAGCUAGUUGGUGAGGUAACGGCUCACCAAGGCCACGAUGCGUAGCCGACCUGAGAGGGUGAUCGGCCACACUGGGACUGAGACACGGCCCAGACUCCUACGGGAGGCAGCAGUAGGGAAUCUUCCGCAAUGGACGAAAGUCUGACGGAGCAACGCCGCGUGAGUGAUGAAGGUUUUCGGAUCGUAAAACUCUGUUGUCAGGGAAGAACAAGUACCGGAGUAACUGCCGGUACCUUGACGGUACCUGACCAGAAAGCCACGGCUAACUACGUGCCAGCAGCCGCGGUAAUACGUAGGUGGCAAGCGUUGUCCGGAAUUAUUGGGCGUAAAGCGCGCGCAGGCGGUUCCUUAAGUCUGAUGUGAAAGCCCCCGGCUCAACCGGGGAGGGUCAUUGGAAACUGGGGAACUUGAGUGCAGAAGAGAAGAGUGGAAUUCCACGUGUAGCGGUGAAAUGCGUAGAGAUGUGGAGGAACACCAGUGGCGAAGCGACUCUUUGGUCUGUAACUGACGCUGAGGCGCGAAAGCGUGGGGAG